CGAGUCGGUCAGGCAAUCGCGCGCCAUCCCGGUAGGGGGGCGUGAGGAAAGUCCGGGCUCCACUGGACAGGGUGCCAGGUAACACCUGGGGGGCGCGAGCCCACGGAAAGUGCAGCAGAAAGCAAACCGCCGGCGCGCAUCGCGAAUCCGCGAGCCGUCGGCAAGGGUGAAAGGGUGCGGUAAGAGCGCACCGCAGGGACUGGCAACAGCCCUGGCUAGGCAAACCCCGCCCGGAGCAAGGCCAAAUAGGGGUCCCAAGGCGUGGUCCGCGCCGGACUCGGGUAGGCCGCUGGAGGCGACCGGUGACGGUCGUUCGAGAUGAAUGGUUGCCCGCGACAGAACCCGGCUUACCGACCGGCUCAGCCC
rnacentral:RNase_P_RNA from 1 species